CCUACGGGUGGCAGCAGUGAGGAAUAUUGGUCAAUGGGCGAAAGCCUGAACCAGCCAAGUCGCGUGAGGGAUUACGGCCCUACGGGUUGUAAACUUCUUUUGUCAGGGAGCAAUUGAGUCCACGUGUGGUCUUAGCGAGAGUACCUGAAGAAAAAGCAUCGGCUAACUCCGUGCCAGCAGCCGCGGUAAUACGGAGGAUGCGAGCGUUAUCCGGAUUUAUUGGGUUUAAAGGGUGCGUAGGCGGAAUAGUAAGUCAGCGGUAAAAAUUCGGGGCUCAACCCCGUCGUGCCGUUGAAACUGGUGGUCUUGAGUGGGCGAGAAGUAGGCGGAAUGCGUGGUGUAGCGGUGAAAUGCAUAGAUAUCACGCAGAACCCCGAUUGCGAAGGCAGCAUACCGGCGCCCAACUGACGCUGAAGCACGAAAGCGUGGGGAUCGAACAGGAUUAGAUACCCUAGUAGUC
rnacentral:rRNA from 1 species